UAGUAUUGAUGACAUAGUGAAAUCGUUGAUAACUUUGUCGCCUCUGCUGCCGCAAUUGCAUGUACGCAUGGUAACUUUUCUAUGUCAAAUCUGCGGCAUGAACAUCUCCGCUCUGUCAAAUUCACUAUGUGUGUAGUUGAGACACCAGAAACAUGAUAUUGGUGAAUAUCUAUCUGUUGUACGCUUAGCAUUUUAGCAUAUGGCACACGACCCUGUGAAAGUAUGUAUGCAACGUUAGUUUUCU
rnacentral:lncRNA from 1 species